AUUGAACGCUGGCGGCAUGCUUUACACAUGCAAGUCGAACGGCAGCGCGGGCUUCGGCCUGGCGGCGAGUGGCGAACGGGUGAGUAAUACAUCGGAACGUGCCCAGUAGUGGGGGAUAGCUCGGCGAAAGCCGGAUUAAUACCGCAUACGACCUGAGGGUGAAAGCGGGGGAGCUUCGGACCUCUCGCUAUUGUGGCGGCCGAUGGCCGAUUAGCUAGUUGGUGGGGUAAAGGCCUACCAAGGCGACGAUCUGUAGCUGGUCUGAGAGGACGACUAGCCACCCUGGGACUGAGACACGGCCCAGACUCCUACGGGAGGCAGCAGUGGGGAAUUUUGGACAAUGGGCGAAAGCCUGAUCCAGCAAUGCCGCGUGUGUGAUGAAGGCCUUCGGGUUGUAAAGCACUUUUGGCGGGAACGAAAAGGACUGUGCCAAUACCACGGUUCGAUGACGGUACCCGCAGAAUAAGCACCGGCUAACUACGUG
rnacentral:rRNA from 1 species